rnacentral:rRNA from 1 species
UACAGAGACUGCAAGCGUUAUUCGGAUUCACUGGGCGUAAAGGGUGCGCAGGCGGCCAAGUGUGUGAGGCGUGAAAGCCCGAAGCUUAACUUCGGAAUUGCACCUCAAACUACAUGGCUAGAGCAUUGGAGAGGGUAGCGGAAUUCACGGUGUAGCAGUGAAAUGCGUAGAUAUCGUGAGGAACACCAGUGGCGAAGGCGGCGACCUGGACAGAUAUUGACGCUGAGGCGCGAAAGCGUGGGGAGCAAACAGG